rnacentral:rRNA from 1 species
GAUGAACGCUAGCUACAGGCUUAACACAUGCAAGUCGAGGGGAAACGAUAGAGAAAGCUUGCUUUUUCUAGGCGUCGACCGGCGCACGGGUGAGUAACGCGUAUCCAACCUGCCCACCACUUGGGGAUAACCUUGCGAAAGUAAGACUAAUACCCAAUGAUAACUCAAGAAGACAUCUGAAUGAGAUUAAAGAUUUAUCGGUGAUGGAUGGGGAUGCGUCUGAUUAGCUUGUUGGCGGGGUAACGGCCCACCAAGGCGACGAUCAGUAGGGGUUCUGAGAGGAAGGUCCCCCACAUUGGAACUGAGACACAGUCCAAACUCCUACGGGAGGCAGCAGUGAGGAAGAUUGGUCAAUGGGCGAGAGCCUGAACCAGCCAAGUAGCGUGCAGGAUGACGGCCCUAUGGGUUGUAAACUGCUUUUAUAAGGGAAUAAAGUGAGCCUCGUGAGGCUUUUUGCAUGUACCUUAUGAAUAAGGACCGGCUAAUUCCGUGCCAGCCGCCGCAGUAA